CGUUACGCGGGUAUGUGUACAGGGUUGGAAGAUGACGAGAAACAGGUAUCUGGGUUUAAUAUUUGUAUUGGUAUAUUUAUAUAUGUAUUAUUUCUAUGAUUAUUUAUCAAAAAAAAUAUACAUGUAGUUAUAACAGUCGCCUGUUGCCUGUAAAACAAGCAUUGUGGGUUGUCUGGAAGAGAUCACUAUCUAGUGAUAAGACCGCCCGUUGCAUGCGACG
rnacentral:misc_RNA from 1 species